CAGGAGCUCGUCCGUUUGUCCCGGUUGCCUGCGGCUGAUGCCGGUGUGCACCGUCUGACAGGAGAGGGUUCCCCACUUCAUCUUAGGAGGAAACAGAAGAAGAAAAGUUUAACCAGAAAUCUCACCGAGUUCUCCAGCUGCUCUGCGUCCGACCUGCAGCCCACGACGUGCGGGCAGCCCCUGAAGGCGAACUCCUCCAGCUCGGCCAGCAUCCUCUCCUUCUCCUCGCUCUGCGCGUGCACGAUCUGCUUCAGCCGGAACUGGACCUGCGCGAAGUGCGAGGUGAGCGCGAGGAGGGACGAGUUCAGCAGCUCCUGCUCGUCCUCCAGCUUCCUCAGCCGCGCGGUCAUCUCCUCCUCGCUAGCCGAGGCUCUGAGCUUCGGCCGGCCGCUGGCCCCGCUCUCGUCCUCGGGGCUGGCCACGGCUCCCACCGGUGCCCAUCGCUCCCCCGCGUUGGCGAAAACGGCCUCGCUGUCGGACGCUGACAGCUCCUCCGUGGACAUUCUGGACGAAGGGCUUCGCGCAGAUUCGUUAUCGGUUGUCGGUAGAUCGGGAGCAGCGAUCUCCAGAGGGAGGGUUUCCUAAAGUUGCGCAGGUAACAGCGGGGAUAAUCGCCCGGGGAACAGGUGCAUCGCCAUUUUGGGAAAACGAUGAUACGUCACAGCGUCAGAAAGUAAACUACGGAAGUGACGCGAGUUUGCCUUCAGAAUAAAAGCUGUAACUUCAUUGAUUGUGUAAAGAUGUAACAUUUUUUUCAUAAAUACAACCAAUACCACAACCCUAAUUUGUCUUGUUUGGUUACCCCGAAAAAUCUUAUCUGUUAGACCACUGACUGUAUAUGAAAACUGGACUGGGUGACCCCCAUUGACUGUAUAAGAAAGAACAUUUUUUUAGAAAGAAUAUAUUUUUUACAGUCACUGGUGACCCCGGUGUUCCAAACAGGAAGUACACACUGGCUCCACUUCUGUAGAGAAAUGAACGGCUAUUAUUUUGUCAGAAUAAAAAUUCAUGCUCUGAAACCUUGAAAUAUUGUUUCUGUUGUGAAAGUUUUACAACUUAUAAACUGACAAAUCAGAUGCCUUUAUAAAAGUAGGUGGUGCCAAUGGUGAUGAGAAUGAUUACCAUAGAAACGCUGACUCAGACUAACACGGACCAAUCACUGCAUACAGGCGUUGUCAGGAUCCAUAUUGCACAAAAAAGGCAAUUACUUGAUUUUUUUUUUUUUUUAGAUUUAUAAACGUGCAAUAAUUUAAUGUGUCAGAGAACUGGACAGAGUAUGACGUCACCCAUAGGAAAUGGCUUUUUUAUGGUUCCAACAAAAUAAAGUCAAUUCAGUAUCCAUUUUAUAGCAAUAUGAACACCGCCAUGUUGGAGCCAGAGGUCGUCAGUAAGCAGUGAUUGAAAUCUGAGUCGUCUGAGUCAAUAUUUCUAUGGCAACCAAUCUCGCCAAUCAGGAGUGAGCUUGUUGUAACUUCACACCCCUACCCCUAAAAGCGGGCUUCACGAAAUCUGUCAAAAGUUUUAAACGUUGAAUGUGGAGGGCUAACAGGCACCACCCACUUUCAUUGAGGCAUCUGAUUGGCCAGUUUAUAACUUGAUUAACUUGUACUGCAGAAAAAAAACACAAUGAAAGAAAAAAUAGGAUUAACAAUUGUCCGGAAAAUUUUAUUUCUCAGUAGAAGUCUAUGGGAUUUUGGCUCAAUGAAGCCAGUGGGCACUUCCUGUUUGGAGUUCCAGGGGGCAGAGGUCACUCAAUCCAGUUCUUAUGGUUCCAUUACAAACGCAGUAGGGUGUAUCUAAUAUAGGGUACAUACAUGCUAAUACUUUUUCUUUUUCAAAAACAUAGUUACUAAAUGGAAGUCAUUUGGUUGGAGCCAGAAGUAAGCUAAUUUCUGUCAGUGAUGUCACACUUGCUUUGUCCAGUUCUCAUGUACAGUCAAUGAUGUCAGAGUACGUCUCCCUUCACUCUGCUGCUUCCUGUAGGGGUCGCCACAGCAACUAAUCCUGUGUUUCAUAAACCAGGAUUAUGCCCCACUGUGGUUUCACUCCUAUGUGUUGAUGAACUCGCAAAAUAAUUUAUAGUUGCUGUUUUAAAAUAACUUUUGUCUCUAAAAAUGAGAAUGAAGUUCCAUAGCUUUGAACCAUCUCUCUUUACUCUCUAUUCCCUUGGGCUUUGAUUCACUUAUUGUUGAAAAUACUGAGGGAAUUAAAUUUUUCUGGAUUUUAGUUUCAGUCUUCUGUGUGUCUGCUCUGCUGAACCUCUACAAAGACAGGAGGAUCUUCAAACCAUCACACAUCAUACCCCCUGCCGUGCAACCCUAAAGAGGUCUCCAUUUUCCAUUUGAGAGAUGACUUCAGUUUGCUUUUACAAAACUUAAGCAGCUUUCCGGAUCUGAAAAGAACUUUACACUUCUGCAAACCUAAAAAAUUAUAUACAUUGACAUGAAAAGCAAUGAAUGGAAAUCCUGAAUCCAGGCUUUUAAUCUUUUUAUAGUAAUUUUUUGGUCAAAAUUGAAACUUUUUUUUCUAAAUUAUUUGCAGAACAAUAAUACUACUUAAUAUAUUUACGAACAUUUAUAAAUAGAUAUGACUGGCUGGUAACAUUGGAAUUUCUUUGAGAACAACAUUUUUAUGUUUGACAUAAAAAUUGGACGAGUCAUCUUUUCUUUUUACUUUUAUUUGCAUUGGUUUAAUGGAAAAUGUCAACAGCAUUCGGGUUCAUUACAGAUAACAGAGCGACAUACAUUAAACCCUUAAUUUUACCAACAUUUAAGAUCAAUUUGAAGAUGAGUUUAGGCACUCAGUACAAGUUUCCAAAUGAAAUCACAAAGACACAGAUGUGAGCCAUGAUUCAGUGGAGACUUUUACUCAUUUUGACUUAAAAGAACUGCUUAUGAACCCUGAGUAAUAACGUCUUUAGCCAUUUUCUUUCAUGUAAACUUGCAUUUCCUUAAGCGCUUUUCUGUUUGUCAGUGUUUUGGUUACCGUUUACCACAAUUUUCACCUAAUAGAAAAACAAAAAUUGUAUGUAAACUUUUUUUUAGUGGGUAGAGAUAACUGACACUGCUGAUUUUCACACUAUUAUGGCUUUCCUCUUGUUGGAGAAGAACGUGUGCCAGUUGAGCCAGUGCAGCCCGGGUUUCUUGAUGCAGGAGCCGCCACGUGAGCAUCUGUAGCCAUCAGGACAGCAGUGCUUCAUGUCUCUGCAGCACAUGGCCUGCAAAGAAGAGAACACGGCGUUCUCUCUUGAGGAAUCCUCUUACAUUAGGGGACAAACAGCACCCCCAGGUGGUGUGGGACGUCCUGCAGCAGGUCUCAUCCACG